rnacentral:rRNA from 1 species
UACGGAGGGGACUAGCGUUGUUCGGAAUUACUGGGCGUAAAGCGCGCGUAGGCGGAUUUGCAAGUCGGGGGUGAAAGCCCGAGGCUCAACCUCGGAACUGCCCUCGAUACUGCAAAUCUCGAGUCCGAGAGAGGUGAGUGGAAUUCCUAGUGUAGAGGUGAAAUUCGUAGAUAUUAGGAAGAACACCAGUGGCGAAGGCGGCUCACUGGCUCUGUACUGACGCUGAGGCGCGAAAGCGUGGGGAGCAAACAGG